CUACCGGGGUAUCUAAUCCUGUUCGAUACCCGCACCUUCGAGCUUAAGCGUCAGUUACACUCCCGUACGCUGCCUUCGCAAUCGGAGUUCUUCAUGAUAUCAAGCAUUUCACCGCUACACCAUGAAUUCCGCAUACGUUGUGUGCACUCAAGUUCGCCAGUUCGCGCUGCAAGUUAAAUGUUGAGCACCUAAAUUUCACAACACGCUUAACAAACCGCCUACACUCCCUUUAAACCCAAUAAAUCCGGAUAACGCCUGGACCUUCCGUAUUACCGCGGCUGCUGGCAC
rnacentral:rRNA from 1 species